rnacentral:rRNA from 1 species
AUGGAUAUGGAACACAAAAUACCAAAAAAAUUAGUUGUACUUGCUACUCAUGAGGAUGGGCUAACUCCUAAAACCCUCGAUUCUCAUUAUGCGAGAGAUAUUAUAUACUACUUUGAUAAUCCUGAGAAAACCCCAUUCAACUUUAUAAUGGGAGUAACGUUGGAUCAACGUGAAUACUUUAGGGAUUAUCGCUUAACACAAAAAGGGAAACUAUUAUGGGAUCAAAUUCAUUUAUUGAAGUGGUAUGCUUGGAAACUAUGCGUGGAAUAUGAUCAUACUUGUUGCUCUAGGAUGAAUUCUCCGCACCUUCCCUUUUCAUGCAAAUUUAAUGAUAAUAAAACCUUAGCUUCUUAUGCUAAUGGUAUAUAUGAUUACUAUGAUGUGGAACAAAUAGAAGAAUUUGUUGCUUUUAUGGGUGCUUAUGAAAUUGAAGCUAUGUGUAAAGAGUUUGAGGAUUAUGAUGAUGUUGUUAAUAGAUCUGAAAAUUUAGGUAUCCUCAAAUAUUGCUAUGAGAAUUAUAAAUACAAUUAUGAAAUUGAUGCACUUAUUAAGAAAGUCUCCGCUGUCCAAGAAGAGACUAAUAUUUUGCAGGAAUCUAUGAAAGAAGAAAUUGAUGAAACUAUGAGCUCAUUGGAUGAAAAAUAUGAGGAGGAGAGCGAAGAACAAGAGGAGGAAGAGCGGAUUGUUCACCCAUGCCCACCUUUUAAUGAGAGUAACUCUUCAACUCAUACAUUGAUUAAUUCCCCUUCGUGCUUACCGAAGGAUGAUUGCUAUGAUGACUGUUAUGAUCCCUAUGAUUCUUUUGAAAUAUCCCUUUUUGAUGAUGCUUGCUAUGCUUGUGGCCAAGAUGCCAAUAUGAAUGAUGCUUAUGGAUAUGAACUUGCUAUAGUUCCUUAUGUUAAACAUGAAAUUGUUGCUAUUGCACCCACGCAUGAUAGUCCUAUUAUCUUUUUGAAUUCUCCCAACUACACUAUAUCGGAGAAGUUUGUGCUUAUUAAGGAUUAUAAUGAUGGGUUGCCUUUUACCGUUGCACAUGAUGAUUUUGAUAGAUAUAAUAUGCAUGUGCUUGCUGCUCCUACUUGCAAUUAUUAUGAGAGAGGAACUAUGUCUCCACCUCUCUAUGUUUCCAAUACUAUGAAAUUGCAAGAAACUGCUUAUACUAUGCAUUGGCCUUUACUCGGUGUGUAUGAAUUGUUCUUUUAUGACAUGCCGAUGCAUAGGAAGAGAGUUAGACUUCGUCAUUACAUGAUUUAUGUUACUUUGUGCUCAGUACUAAAUUACAAAUCAUUGUUAAUUAAAAUUGGCUUUGAUAUACCUUGGGAUCCGGGUGGAUUCAUUACUUGA